rnacentral:lncRNA from 1 species
GAUAUUAUAGUUAGUCACGCCUUUAUUUAGUUUGGUAUCCACUAAUAUAGGUUAGAUUAACAUAAGGAAGGACACAUUUGUCCCUCUGUAAUUUUCGAAAAUACCCGCCUACCCUUCUCUCAACCACAUCAUCUGCAACUCUCAAAUUAGAGCAACAAAGAAAUCAGACUUGAAACACACAUUGCAGUAAGAACCAAAGAAUUAUUGAUAAGUUAAACAAACAUUAUCCAGCACAAAAACAUUCCUUAUUGAAAUUGUUAUACAGAAAUCCAUUAUCUGUCUCCUAGGGCACGAAUGCAGACGCCGACUAAUGUUUAUACCCAAACUAGAUUCAGCACAAACAACACACAAAUCAACUACAACCAUCCUAUAUUCAUAAAAAAAAUCGAAAAAAAUGGUGCAAUUCUAUGGAGUGAUUCAGUUCUGG